AGUUAACAGCCACAUGGGUAGUUCAUCAUCUCUAUAUAAAAUCACCUGUGUGUGGCUCCAGCUCCGACACAAGGAAGCAAGCCGGAAGCCAUUUCAAGCCCACACCCGCGCGCUUGAAGUCAAGCUCUCCCUAAUAACAAAGGACGACCAAGAAGGACUCGACAAAGAUGGCCAACCUCGCCGUCCUCGUGACCGUCUUCCUCGUGGCCGAGGCGAUCAUGUUGCCUGCGGUGCACGGCGCCCGCCCUUUGGAGAGCGUGGAGCUCGUGGCCUCGUCGGUGGCAAAGCCCCCCUCGUCGACAUCGUUGCAAGUCCCGGCGCUCGUCCCUCUUGACGGCCACUUCGAAGAAGAGGCAGACGGUCCUGCCGCGGCGGGGUACCUCGUGACGGACUGCACCCAUAAAACGCCGGUGAAUGGGCCCUAAUUAACCCACGCAUUGUCCUAAUUCGGGUGUCACCUCAAGUGAUGAGCAUGCACUCACUACUGCCUUUUUUAAGUUGUGUCAAAACCAUGUAAACGGCCUUCAAAUAAUGAUCAAUUAUCUGGU
rnacentral:lncRNA from 1 species